UACGGAGGGUGCAAGCGUUAAUCGGAAUUACUGGGCGUAAAGCGUGCGCAGGCGGUUUGUUAAGUCCGUUGUGAAAGCCCCGAGCUCAACUUGGGAAUUGCAGUGGAUACUGGCAGGCUGGAGUACGGUAGAGGAAGGUGGAAUUCCCGGUGUAGCAGUGAAAUGCUUAGAUAUCGGGAGGAACACCAGUGGCGAAGGCGGCCUUCUGGACCAGUACUGACGCUCAUGCACGAAAGCGUGGUGAGCAAACAGG
rnacentral:rRNA from 1 species